rnacentral:rRNA from 1 species
GACGAACGCUGGCGGCGUGCUUAACACAUGCAAGUCGAACGGAAAGGCCCUGCUUUUGUGGGGUGCUCGAGUGGCGAACGGGUGAGUAACACGUGAGUAACCUGCCCUUGACUUUGGGAUAACUUCAGGAAACUGGGGCUAAUACCUGAUAGGAGCUCCUGCUGCAUGGUGGGGGUUGGAAAGUUUCGGCGGUUGGGGAUGGACUCGCGGCUUAUCAGCUUGUUGGUGGGGUAGUGGCUUACCAAGGCUUUGACGGGUAGCCGGCCUGAGAGGGUGACCGGCCACAUUGGGACUGAGAUACGGCCCAGACUCCUACGGGAGGCAGCAGUGGGGAAUAUUGCACAAGGGGCGGAAGCCUGAUGCAGCAACGCCGCGUGCGGGAUGACGGCCUUCGGGUUGUAAACCGCUUUCGCCUGUGACGAAGCGUGAGUGACGGUAAUGGGUAAAGAAGCACCGGCUAACUACGUG